GCCGCGGUGAUACGGAGGGUGCAAGCGUUAAUCGGAAUUACUGGGCGUAAAGCGCACGCAGGCGGUUUGUUAAGUCAGAUGUGAAAUCCCCGCGCUUAACGUGGGAACUGCAUUUGAAACUGGCAAGCUAGAGUCUUGUAGAGGGGGGUAGAAUUCCAGGUGUAGCGGUGAAAUGCGUAGAGAUCUGGAGGAAUACCGGUGGCGAAGGCGGCCCCCUGGACAAAGACUGACGCUCAGGUGCGAAAGCGUGGGGAGCAAACAGGAUUAGAUACCCUGGUAGUCCACGCUGUAAACGAUGUCGACUUGGAGGUUGUGCCCUUGAGGCGUGGCUUCCGGAGCUAACGCGUUAAGUCGACCGCCUGGGGAGUACGGCCGCAAGGUUAAAACUCAAAUGAAUUGACGGGGGCCCGCACAAGCGGUGGAGCAUGUGGUUUAAUUCGAUGCAACGCGAAGAACCUUACCUACUCUUGACAUCCACGGAAUUCGCCAGAGAUGGCUUAGUGCCUUCGGGAACCGUGAGACAGGUGCUGCAUGGCUGUCGUCAGCUCGUGUUGUGAAAUGUUGGGUUAAGUCCCGCAACGAGCGCAACCCUUAUCCUUUGUUGCCAGCACGUAAUGGUGGGAACUCAAAGGAGACUGCCGGUGAUAAACCGGAGGAAGGUGGGGAUGACGCCAAGUCAUCAUGGCCCUUACGAGUAGGGCUACACACGUGCUACAAUGGCAUAUACAAAGAGAAGCGAACUCGCGAGAGCAAGCGGACCUCAUAAAGUAUGUCGUAGUCCGGAUUGGAGUCUGCAACUCGACUCCAUGAAGUCGGAAUCGCUAGUAAUCGUAGAUCAGAAUGCUACGGUGAAUACGUUCCCGGGCCUUGUACACACCGCCCGUCACACCAUGGGAGUGGGUUGCAAAAGAAGUAGGUAGCUUAACCUUCGGGAGGGCGCUUACCACUUUGUGA
rnacentral:rRNA from 1 species